UACGUAGGGGGCUAGCGUUGUUCGGAAUUACUGGGCGUAAAGCGUGCGCAGGCGGCUUCUCAAGUCGGGGGUGAAAUCCUGGAGCUCAACUCCAGAACUGCCUUUGAUACUGGCGAUCUUGAGUUCGAGAGAGGUGAGUGGAACUGCGAGUGUAGAGGUGAAAUUCGUAGAUAUUCGCAAGAACACCAGUGGCGAAGGCGGCUCACUGGCUCGAUACUGACGCUGAGGUGCGAAAGCGUGGGGAGCAAACAGG
rnacentral:rRNA from 1 species